rnacentral:rRNA from 1 species
UACGUAGGGGGCAAGCGUUAUCCGGAUUUACUGGGUGUAAAGGGAGUGUAGGUGGUCUGGCAAGUCAGAUGUGAAAGCCCGGGGCUCAACUCCGGGACUGCAUUUGAAACUGUCAGACUAGAGUGCAGGAGAGGAAAGUGGAAUUCCUAGUGUAGCGGUGAAAUGCGUAGAUAUUAGGAAGAACACCAGUGGCGAAGGCGGCUUUCUGGACUGUAACUGACACUGAGGCUCGAAAGCGUGGGGAGCAAACAGG